rnacentral:lncRNA from 1 species
GCUUGAAUUAAUUAAUACUCUCAGAUAUGCAUGAGAUGAAGAUUAGCUUUGUCUUUGAAGCAUGAAUAUAUAAGGAAACAAAUGAUCUGCUGGGAGUUUCAACUCAAUUGGGACCAAGCUCUAAAGAAUAAUCAUGACUGUCAGCUGAUCAUCUCCAUAAAGAAAAGAGUUACACAGAGAUGAAAGCUACAUCAUUUUCAUGGGACCACAACCUAUUAAACCACCAGCAUCCAAACCAU